CAUCAGAUGACUGAAAGCAAGUAAUGGUCUCUUAAACCAAAAAAUAGUAAAUAUUAGCACUUACUUCUGAUGA
rnacentral:tRNA from 1 species